rnacentral:lncRNA from 1 species
CGGUCCCAGGAGGCACAGGGGGCCUGCGCCCCGUCCCCGAGCCCCGUGCCCAUGUUCCCGGGCGGCACAGACGGCAAAGCUCUGAGAAGCACGUCACAGGGGCUCCCRGGUCCCCAGGCCACCCUUAGGGGACUGUCACCACACUGGCUGUCAGGAGGGGAGGUGGCAGGUCCUCGUCCUGUGUGGUGGCCUGGCUAGCUUGUCCCCACUGGGACUCCCCACUGCCCGCAUGGAGUGAGGGGUCUCCAGGGAUGGGGAGCCCCAGGUGGUGGCAUCAUGGGGACCCCCAGGGGCAUUCGGGGCCACCCCAGGCUGCUGGCCUGCUGGGCAUGCUGUCUCUGCCAGAGCCUUCCCAAGUGUCUACUUGUCCUUGUCCCCAAGGGGAUGGAGCCUGGGACGCGGGCGGCUGUCCUUGCCGAUGGCUGGGGUCAAUGUGGCCUCAGGUCUGCGCUCGGGCCCCUCCCUGCUCCCCAGGGCCGACCGGAUCCUCAGAGCGCCCAGCUGGGUGGACACCAGGCUACAGGGAGGUCCCCUCCUCUCUGGGCUCCCGACUUGGAGUGUCCUACAGACCCUGGGGUUUGGAACCUCAAAAAGCCAAGCCACACACCAGGGAUUCAUCUCUCCCUUGGGUCCUGCGAUCAGAAAUGUGUCCCCAGAAGGCCCAGGAUUCAGAUGAAAGGGGGAACAGCCACCUGCUCACACGUAGGCAUUUGGUCUCCGGUAGUGGGGAUGGCUGAGGGUUAUGGAGAUGGCUGGAGCCCUGGCAGCCUCGGGGAGGAGUGCAUCUCGGGUCCAUCCUGGCUCUGCUUGUGCUUUUCCACGAGGGGAAGUGAUUUGUUGGGUGGAAGAACAGGCGCUGGUUGGUCCUCAGAGGCCUGCGCCUGUGGCAAACCUUGGAACAUGAACUUUUCAUUGGCUCCUGGUGCAAAGACCUCACAGGAGAUGGAGCACUGUGGCAGUGUUCCCUGGAGCAGAGCAGGAGAGAAGCAGUCCAGGGUCAGGUCCUCGWGCUGUGGCUGGGGAAUCAGACCCCSGC